rnacentral:lncRNA from 1 species
AAAGUGAUUUAGGUUUUUCCACAUUUUUAUUUGUUUGUUGCUUAUUACUUAUUUUAAAAAAAAUUAUUUAUUUAGAUAUAUGCUUAUCAUUUCUUUAAUGGAAAUUUUCAAAGAUACACAAAAGUAGAGAGACUAGAACCUCCAAGUAUCACUCGGCUUCAACAAUGAUUAUUUUUUCAAUAUGUUUGAUGAUAUGAUUUCUGCUAGAAUUAUCUCUUACAUUCUUUCUGAUGUAAUUACUACUUUAUUCAUAUAACAUCUUGGUGUUCCCACACCAUUGGUAUAAUUACUGCCUUACACUAGUUAAUUGUGGCUGAUGCAGGGGACAUUUGUAUGCUAUUAAAUGCUCUUGUUGAAGUUAGCUCACUACAGGCCACAAAGUAUUUCUGUUUUCCCUGAAACAGGAUUGUUUUGAGUUUUAAGUUUUGGCUUAGCUUGGGUUCAAAAACGAAUCUGUUUGGUAUCUGUUGGCCUCCUUGGGUUGGUCUGUGUUUACCACACUGACCAUCCAAUCAAUCUUAACUCUUUUUCUGUUAACACAGAAACAUAAGGAAAUUUAUCCUCUGCAAAGAUAAUUAGAACAGAAAAUUCAGGUGCCUAAAUAAUGAAAGUGCACAUAAUACGAAUGUAAUUCACAGCUGGUUGUAGUGCGUCCAUUCAGAGAGUUAUGUGAUGCUCAUGAUCCCACAGGUUUGAGGCCAGUGUGGGCCAGUUGAUUUUCCUUGUUCUAAUCCUCACCCAGCCUUCUUCACGACAUGACAAAGUGGAACAGAUUAGCCCUGAGCUAACAUCUGCCACAAAUCCUCCUCUUUUUGCUGAGGAAGACUGGCCUCGAGCUAACAUCUAUGCCCAUCUUCUCUACUUUAUAUGCAAGACACCUACCACAGCAAGGCUUGCCGAGCAGUGCCAUGUCCGCACCCAGCAUCCGAACCGGCGAACCCUGGGCCGGCGAAGCAGAACGUGCGAACUUAACCUCUGCACCACAGGGCCAGCCUCUCCCCUACCAUCUUUUAAUUCACUUAGUUUAACAGUCACACCACCAGAAGCAGAGAUGAAAAUCUGUGCCUUUGGGAAAAGCUACCAAAAUGGAACCUGCAAAAUGCAAACAACAAGCAGAAGCCCCAAACACAUGCUGCAUGAACUGUGUAUGGAGACUGCCAUUUGGGAAUGAGAACAUCCUGCCUGCUUCAUGAUGAGUCACCAAUUCACAGUCCUUCCCGAAACCUUGCCCUGGUCCUGCUUUUGGAUUCCGGGAGAUAGCCAGGUUUAUUUUGUCUUUAUAAUAAACUUCCCUUUUUGCUUUCUGCUUAAACAACUUUAAGCAGUAUUCCUGCC